AACGAACGCUGGCGGCGCGCCUAAUACAUGCAAGUCGAGCGAGAAGACGUAGCAAUACGUUUGUAAAGCGGCGAACGGGUGAGGAAUACAUGGGUAACCUACCCUCGAGUGGGGAAUAACUAGCCGAAAGGUUAGCUAAUACCGCGUACGCUCCUCGGACUUCGGUUCAGGGAGGAAAGCGAUACCGUGGGUAUCGCGCUCUUGGAUGGGCUCAUGUCCUAUCAGCUUGUUGGUGAGGUAACGGCUCACCAAGGCUUCGACGGGUAGCUGGUCUGAGAGGACGAUCAGCCACACUGGCACUGCGACACGGGCCAGACUCCUACGGGAGGCAGCAGUAAGGAAUAUUGCGCAAUGGGCGAAAGCCUGACGCAGCGACGCCGCGUGGGGGAGUGAAGGUCUUCGGAUUGUAAACCCCUUUCGGGUAGGGAAGAUGGAACGAGCAAUCGUUCGGACGGUACCUCCAGAAGCAGCCACGGCUAACUUCGUGCCAGCCGCCGCGGU
rnacentral:rRNA from 1 species